rnacentral:tRNA from 1 species
GAGGCUAUAGCCCAGUGGUAGAGUGCCUGCUUAGCAUGCACAAAAUCCUGAGUUCAAUCCCCAGUACCUCA